GAUACAUAUACGCACCGAUCACAAAAAGAAAACAAACUCACCUCUUGAUCAAGAGAGCACGAUCUCAUACCGUUCGCAGCGCUCACUCGCCACAAAACGAGUUUCUGUAUACACCGCGUAGUCCGCCGAAGCAACCUUGAACUUCAAUCAGAGGACCACACGAAGCUGAUGUGGCCGCAAACUCGACCCGAGCCAAGGGUAGCGCCAUUAAAACCGUUCAUUUGCUGUCCCAUACAUGAAAAUGUGGCUGAACAUAGACAGGUUCAAUUAGAAUUUCCCCCUACUGCUGCGAUAAAUUUCGAAAAGCGGAAAAGUUCUGCAAUUUGAAUGUUUAGAAAUUGGACAGAAGGCUGUACGUUAUUUGACGCAGGUUUCUUGGAGUAAUUCAUGCGUAAAACGGGACGUUUUCCUGCCUUAUGUUCUGGAAUGGAAAUUUCCAUGUGCAGCGUGGUGGCGAAGAUUAAGUAUCAUUUGAUCUACGCGCCAAUAGGCAAAACCGAAAUAAGUGAUUGUUGUAAGUACGUACAUGUAUUAUAGAAUACAAGUUCAAAAAUGUCAUUCGAAGAUCUGGAAACGGAAAUCUUUGUGGAUGUCAGUAAACCAACAACCUGAGCCAUUAUCAACCAGAACCGUCAUGAUAGUCGUAAAGUCUGAUGAUACAACGCAGCUAGAUUAAGGGGAUCUAAUGUCCGGUAGCCUUCUGUGAUCGAGUCUCAAAUCUAAAGGAUAAAUAAAAGAUUUUUGUUUUGUGAAAACACAAGAAUGUACCGUUUUUUAGUGCAGAUGUUUGAUCAUGAUUCAUAUAUUUUCGGAAGUUGCAGAUUUUAAAAAUUUUACGAUUUUUCUGUAGCCUUUCAAAGGUUUUUGUUCAUCAUCAUCGGAUUAGACACUAAUCUCUG